AAUCCUGUUCACCAGGGAGGGGAGCCCUCAUGGCCUUAUCACCUCUUUAAAGGCCCCAUCUCUUAAUCCUAUCACAUUGGCAACACCUGAAUUUUGGAAUAUUUGACGUGAAUCUGGUGGUAACCUAUGAAUAAGUAAGCAUUUUGGUGUAGGGCUACAGUACGUGAAUAAUUUCAUGUUGACAUCAAGAACCCAUUUUACCUUUCAAACCAUAGUACUUACCACUCAGCUCCAGAAAAGUCAAAUUAGGAAAGGGGAAAAUAUCUUUAUCCUUAGGAAUAAUGAAGGCUGGGCAUGGUGGCUCACACUGGUAAUCCUAGCACUUUGGGAGGCUGACGUGGUCAGAUCACUUGGAGCCCAGGAGUUUGAGACCAGUCUGGGCAACAAGGCAAAACUCCGUCUCUACAAAAAUUAGCUAGGUGUGGUGAUACAUGCCUAUAGUCCCUGCUACUUGGGAGGCUAAGGUGGGAGGAUCACCUGAGCCCAGAAGGUCAAGGCUGCAGUGAGCCGUGAUUGUGCCACUAUACUCCACCAGCCUGGGUGACAGAAUGAGACCCUAUCUCAAAAAAGAGUAAAGCCUUCUCUGAUUAGUAAAGGACAGACAGGAUGAGAGCAGUGCCGGAAGGCAGAACCUCGCUGUCACGAACUGGAGCCUGUUGAUGAUGAGGAGACCAUGCAGGGCUUGCAGCCAAAAGAAGGAAGCUGAAGGGAUGUAAGCAAGUCAGAUUCAGAUGAGAAUCUGGUGGUAAGCCUGCAAAUAAAUAAGUAGUUUAAUGUAGUGCUACAGUAUGUGAAUAAUUUCAUGUUGACAUCAAGAAUCUACUGUACCUUGCUUAACUUUUAAAUUUCCUUUAUUGUCUUUUGUAACAACUUUUAUUUGCACAGGUCAAAUUUGUUGGGGCAUAAAGGUGAAGUGGCAGAAGAAUUUGGUAUAAUCAUGAAAGCCCUGUGGACAGGACAGUAUAGAUAUAUCAGUCCAAAGGACUUUAAAAUCACCAUUGGGAAGAUCAAUGACCAGUUUGCAGGAUACAGUCAGCAAGAUUCACAAGAAUUGCUUCUGUUCCUAAUGGAUGGUCUCCAUGAAGAUCUAAAUAAAGCUGAUAAUCGGAAGAGAUAUAAAGAAGAAAAUAAUGAUCAUCUCGAUGACUUUAAAGCUGCAGAACAUGCCUGGCAGAAACACAAGCAGCUCAAUGAGUCUAUUAUUGUUGCACUUUUUCAGGGUCAAUUCAAAUCUACAGUACAGUGCCUCACAUGUCACAAAAAGUCUAGGACAUUUGAGGCCUUCAUGUAUUUGUCUCUACCACUAGCAUCCACAAGUAAAUGUACAUUACAGGAUUGCCUUAGAUUAUUUUCCAAAGAAGAAAAACUCACAGAUAACAACAGAUUUUACUGCAGUCAUUGCAGAGCUCGACGGGAUUCUCUAAAAAAGAUAGAAAUCUGGAAGUUACCACCUGUGCUUUUAGUGCAUCUGAAACGUUUUUCCUACGAUGGCAGGUGGAAACAAAAAUUACAGACAUCUGUGGACUUCCCGUUAGAAAAUCUUGACUUGUCACAGUAUGUUAUUGGUCCAAAGAACAAUUUGAAGAAAUAUAAUUUGUUUUCUGUUUCAAAUCACUACGGCGGGCUGGAUGGAGGCCACUACACAGCCUAUUGUAAAAAUGCAGCAAGACAACGGUGGUUUAAGUUUGAUGAUCAUGAAGUUUCUGAUAUCUCCGUUUCUUCUGUGAAAUCUUCAGCAGCUUAUAUCCUCUUUUAUACUUCACUGGGACCACGAGUAACUGAUGUAGCCACAUAAGGAGACAUAGGUUAUAAACUAGUUAUCUUUUAAAAGGCUCAGCAACACAACUCUUGAAAUGCUUAUCAAGAUAAUGGUAGCUAUAGCUGGCCAUUUAGAGGAAUUCUAGGACAGUGGGAGCUGUGUUACUAGCACUAUAUAAUUCCGGUCAGUGCUGACAAAUAACAUUUAACAAGUAUUGCAGUAAGCAUCACUUACUUACAGGUACCAUUUAUUUCAAAACAACUUUUUUAGUCUGCUCCAAAGUUAAAAUAAUUAACUAGCUAAGCAUUAUUAUUCGACUGGUCUAAAAACCAUUGUUAUCUUUUUUUUUCCUUUUCACUGUUAUGGCCUUUCCACAUUUCUAAAUCCCAUCUUGAUAUACUAUGAAUACUCUACUCUAGAAUGAUGUAAAGCAGAUAGGAAUGUAUGUGUACAUAUUUAUUGCAUACUUGCACAUCAAAUCGAUGUACAUAGUUUAACACGUGGUCCUUUUGUGAAACCUAGAACUCAGAGGAUUGCUUUUUUUCUUUCAGCCUAUUUUGAGAAACUUCAGUGCUUUCUUAGGGAAAUGACAGGGCAAAGCGAUUUUUCUGUUGGCUUUGGGCUGUAUUUGUGCACUAAAUCUUUAUUCU
rnacentral:sRNA from 1 species